rnacentral:tRNA from 2 species
CCAUGGUUGGGUCAGUUGGUAGAGCGCUCCACCUGUAAUGGAGAGGUCCCGGGUUCGAUAGCCGGACCAGGCG